UACGUAGGGUGCGAGCGUUAAUCGGAAUUACUGGGCGUAAAGCGUGCGCAGGCGGUUUUGUAAGACAGGCGUGAAAUCCCCGGGCUUAACCUGGGAGUGGCGUUUGUGACUGCAAAGCUGGAGUGCGGCAGAGGGGGAUGGAAUUCCGCGUGUAGCAGUGAAAUGCGUAGAUAUGCGGAGGAACACCGAUGGCGAAGGCAAUCCCCUGGGCCUGCACUGACGCUCAUGCACGAAAGCGUGGGGAGCAAACAGG
rnacentral:rRNA from 1 species